rnacentral:SRP_RNA from 1 species
GCAGGCGCCUCGCCAACCCGGUCAGGUCCGGAAGGAAGCAGCCGCAACGAGCCCCGCCUGGGUCGCUGUCCAGUCUCUCACCC